CAACCCUCAAGCUCUGCUUGGUAUUGGGCAUCACUAGCAAUAGUGUGCCUUAAAAUCAGUGGCGGUGCCAUCUGGCUCUAAGCGUAGUAAAUCUCUCGCUAUAGACGUCUUGUGGAUGCUUGCCAGCAACCCCUAAUUUUUUAA
rnacentral:misc_RNA from 1 species